rnacentral:rRNA from 1 species
UGAGUACGAGAUGCUACGGCGUCGAAGCAGUCUAGGUCAUACUUCCAAGAAAAGCUUGCACUGUCAUAAACAAAGAAUGCCUGUACCAUAACCGACACAGGUGGGUAGGUAGAGUAUACUAAGGGGCGCGAGAUAACUCUCUCUAAGGAACUCGGCAAAAUGACUCCGUAACUUCGGGAGAAGGAGUGCCUUAUUUUUAAGGUUGCAAUAACAAGAUCCAAGCAACUGUUUACCAAAAACACAGGUCUCCGCUAAGUCGUAAGACGAUGUAUGGGGGCUGACGCCUGCCCAGUGCCAGAAGGUUAAAGAAGUUGGUUAGCAUUUGCGAAGCUGAUAACUGAAGCCCUGGUGAACGGCGGCCGUAACGAUAACGGUCCUAAGGUAGCGAAAUUCCUUGUCGGGUAAGUUCCGACCCGCACGAAAGGCGUAAUGAUUUGGAUACUGUCUCGGAGAGGGGCUCGGUGAAAUAGACUUGUCUGUGAAGAUGCGGACUACCUGCACCUGGACAGAAAGACCCUAUGAAGCUUUACUGUAACUUGAGAUUGAAAUUGGACUUUAUUUGCGCAGUAUAGGUGGGAGGCGUUGAGAAUAAUCUUGCGGGAUUAUCGGAGCCAUCAGUGAGAUACCACUCUUGUAAUGUUAGAUUUCUAACUUUGUAUCAUUAUCUGGUCAAAGAACAGUUUCAGGCGGGCAGUUUGACUGGGGCGGUCGCCUCCCAAAGGGUAACGGAGGCGCACAAAGGUUUCCUCUGAACGGGUAGAAAUCGUAUCUAGAGUGUAAAGGCAUAAGGAAGCUUGACUGUGAGACCUACAAGUCGAGCAGGGACGAAAGUCGGUCUUAGUGAUCUGACGGUGCUGAGUGGAAAGGCCGUCACUCAACGGAUAAAAGUUACUCUAAGGAUAACAGGCUGAUCUCCCCCAAGAGUUCACAUCGACGGGGAGGUUUGGCACCUCGAUGUCGGCUCAUCGCAUCCUGGGGCGGUAGUACGUCCCAAGGGUUGGGCUGUUCGCCCAUGAAAGCGGUACGCGAGCUGGGUUCAGAACGUCGUGAGACAGUUCGGUCCAUAUCCGGUGUAGGCGUUAGAAUAUUGAAAGGAGCCUUCUCUAGUACGAGAGGACCGAGAAGGACAUACCUCUGGUGUGCCAGUUAUCGUGCCAACGGUAAACGCUGGGUAGCUAUGUAUGGAGUGGAUAACCGCUGAAAGCAUCUAAGUGGGAAGCCCACCUUAAGAUAAGUAUUCUCAUC